rnacentral:rRNA from 1 species
UACGUAGGGUGCGAGCGUUAAUCGGAAUUACUGGGCGUAAAGCGUGCGCAGGCGGUUUUGUAAGCCAGAUGUGAAAGCCCCGGGCUUAACCUGGGAAUGGCAUUUGGGACUGCAAGGCUGGAGUGUGGCAGAGGAGACUGGAAUUCCUGGUGUAGCGGUGAAAUGCGCAGAUAUCAGGAGGAACACCGGUGGCGAAGGCGGUUCUCUGGGCAUGUUCUGACGCUGAGGAGCGAAAGUGUGGGGAGCGAACAGG